rnacentral:rRNA from 1 species
AAUAUUGCACAAUGGGGGAAGCCCUGAUGCAGCCAUGCCGCGUGUGUGAAGAAGGCCUUCGGGUUGUAAAGCACUUUCAGUAGGGAGGAAGGUAGUGUAGUUAACACCUGCACUAUUUGACGUUACCUACAGAAGAAGCACCGGCUAACUCCGUGCCAGCAGCCGCGGUAAUACGGAGGGUGCGAGCGUUAAUCGGAAUUACUGGGACGUAAAGCGCAUGCAGGCGGCCUGUUAAGUCAGAUGUGAAAGCCCCGGGGCUUAACCUCGGAAUUGCAUUUGAAACUGGCAGGCUAGAGUCUUGUAGAGGGGGUAGAAUUUCAGGUGUAGCGGUGAAAUGCGUAGAGAUCUGAAGGAAUACCAGUGGCGAAGGCGGCCCCCUGGACAAAGACUGACGCUCAGAUGCGAAAGCGUGGGGAGCAAACAGGAUUAGAUACCCUGGUAG